rnacentral:rRNA from 1 species
CGCGUAGGCGGCUUUGUUAGUCAGGCGUGAAAUUCCUGGGCUCAACCUGGGGACUGCGCUUGAUACGGCGGAGCUUGAGGACGGAAGAGGGUCGUGGAAUUCCCAGUGUAGAGGUGAAAUUCGUAGAUAUUGGGAAGAACACCGGUGGCGAAGGCGGCGACCUGGUCCGUUACUGACGCUGAGGCGCGACAGCGUGGGGAGCAAACAGGAUUAGAUACCCCCGUA